CGGCAGGCCUAACACAUGCAAGUCGAACGGUAGCACAGAGGAGCUUGCUCCUUGGGUGACGAGUGGCGGACGGGUGAGUAAUGUCUGGGAAACUGCCCGAUGGAGGGGGAUAACUACUGGAAACGGUAGCUAAUACCGCAUAACGUCGCAAGACCAAAGAGGGGGACCUUCGGGCCUCUUGCCAUCGGAUGUGCCCAGAUGGGAUUAGCUAGUAGGUGGGGUAACGGCUCACCUAGGCGACGAUCCCUAGCUGGUCUGAGAGGAUGACCAGCCACACUGGAACUGAGACACGGUCCAGACUCCUACGGGAGGCAGCAGUGGGGAAUAUUGCACAAUGGGCGCAAGCCUGAUGCAGCCAUGCCGCGUGUAUGAAGAAGGCCUUCGGGUUGUAAAGUACUUUCAGCGAGGAGGAAGGCAUUAAGAUUAAUAACCUUAGUGAUUGACGUUACUCGCAGAAGAAGCACCGGCUAACUCCGUGCCAGCAGCCGCGGUAA
rnacentral:rRNA from 1 species